rnacentral:misc_RNA from 1 species
UACGCAGUGUUCACAACAACCUGACAUUUACUUCUCUCUAAUUCAGAGCAGGCACAGAGACACGUGUCUGCUUAUUUUCUUCUCAAGCUUUUAAAGUGGUAUCUAAAGUGAUAUGGGGAGUACCCCAAGUGCUAUAAAGUGCGGCAUGAGUGAAGUUCAAGUAUCAAAGUGCUUCAAUACCCAGUAUAUGUGGACUUUAUCCAAACAAAAGAUUUAUUUAAUGUGAUCAAGGUUAUUUAGUCAGGAGAGUUAGUGUCUGUUCCACUUCGUUGUUUAUAAAUUUGGUUGUUACGUUCGAAAUCGUUAUGGUGCUGUUGAUGCCCGAUCAGCUGGAGCCGGUGGCGGAUAUUGCUGAUUUACUGCCGAUUAUUGUCGUUCCCGCCAAAGAUCUUUCGCAGGAGUGCUCCCCUGAACCUGGGUCUACUGAGGACUCGUCAGAUUCAGACAGGAGCCAGAAAUCGGCUGACGAGGAUUCAGCUUCGUCUGAUGAGAGUUUAGAAUCAGCUGAUAAUAGCUUAGAAUCAGCUGAUGAGGCUAGUAAAUCCGAAAUAAAUGCUGGGAAUUCCGCAAGUGUUGUUCCAGCUGUUGAAGAUGAGAUAUUUGAAAUCAUCAAUAUCCCUGGUAAAGGGACAGGAAUGAUUGCUCGGAGAAGAAUAUUCCCAGGAAAGAUAAUAUUGGCGGAAGAGCCCUUGUUGGUUGUUACAGAUGAAAUAUUUGCAUCUACUGAGGAUACCGAAGAAUAUAUUUAUAACACAUUGAAUAAACUCGGAGCUGCUAAGACACAACUGUUCCUUGAACUAUCUGACUGUAGAACCCCUGAGGAUCCCUCCUAUGUUGGUAUAUUCUAUACUAAUGAUAUGAACUACGAGGGGGAUGCAGGACUGUUUCCAAGGAUGUCUCGAGCCAAUCAUUCUUGCAAGGCGAACGCUGAGUUUAUUUCAAGACGGGACUUGGGAGUUCAGAGAUUGGUGGCCAACUACCCUAUAGAACAGGGAGAAGAGAUCACAAUCAACUAUAUGCCUAUAUCUGAAGAGGGCUCGGAACUAAGGGAUUCUCGGCGUGCAUAUCUGCGUGAAUGGUAUGGAUUCCAGUGUGCUUGUUCAGAAUGCACAUUAGAGGAUGAUAUUAAGGGUUCUGAGUUUGAUGAGAAUGAGAAGAUAAGAGAAGAGAUAAAGGAACUUCAAGCUGCAGGGAUAGAAAACCUAGAUCCAGAGGAACUAGAAACCUUGAUUACUAGGCUGUAUUCGAUUAAUGGAAAGCUUUCUUACGUAAUGGACCUUAUGGAUUUAAUCUACAAAAAGACUGAAGGAUGUGUGGAGAGAUAUUUCCAAUGUAUCCGUGGUCUAACUCUAGCUAUCCAGUUGUACGGAGAUGACUCUACGUGGAACGAGCACUGGAGGUACAGGAUCCAUGAUGAUCUGCUCCAUCAUGCCGAACUUGCAGGGGAUAGAGCUGAUUGGAGGAAACUAGAGAGACUUAUUGACAUUGUAGUUGUUGAACAGCAAAAUAAAUAGUUUCAAAUAAUUCUCCAUAAAACGAUGACAAUGUCCGAUUCACAACGUUUCCCUUGAAACCAUCUGAUUAAUAAUUUGGAAGCUAUUGACGUUUUUCUAGGUUUAAAGGGUACCAUGGUGAAUCAGGCAUUGAUAGCUUUACAUGGAGGGUCACUUGAAAUUACGAUUACAGUCGCCUUUAAAGGGAUUGUUCAUCGUGAAUCAUCAAUGAUUUCAAUAUCAUCUCUUCAUUCGAUAAUAUAUUUUUUCAUUAUACAUUCUACGACUCGUUCAGCUGCUGAGUUUUCUGCUUUCAAGAUAGCGCUUAAAGUACUGUAGAUAAGAUAUAAAUUUCAAUAGAGUGGUAUGUUUAAUA